rnacentral:rRNA from 1 species
UACGAGGGGGGCGAGCGUUGUUCGGAAUUAUUGGGCGUAAAGGGUGCGUAGGCGGUUCCGCAAGUCCUGUGUGAAAUCUUCGGGCUCAACUCGAAGUCUGCACGGGAAACUGCGGGGCUUGGGUGUGGGAGAGGGUGAGUGGGAAGUUCCCGGUGUAGCGGUGAAAUGCGUAGAUAUCGGGAGGAACACCUGUGGCGAAAGCGGCUCACUGGACCAUAACUGACGGCUGAUGCACGAAAGCUGGGGGGAGCAAACAGG